GUGUAAGUGUUAUUAUGAUUUAUAUUUGUUAAACUUUGUUGAAUUUUAGCAUAUUUCAGUUUUUAGGGUUUUGAAAUUUCACUGUUAGGGCUGUGAUUUUGGGAAUAUUCCGUCUCUUUCUUAACAUGCAUUAAAGGUUGUAGCUUUUAGCUUAUUAGUGUGUACUUUGAGUAUAUUCCGUUAACUAACUUUGAAUUCUUACCCUUUUGUUGCAGGUGACGUAAUAAAUGGAGAUAAUAUUCACAAAAUUUCACCAUG
rnacentral:lncRNA from 1 species